rnacentral:rRNA from 1 species
AUACAGAGGGUGCGAGCGUUAAUCGGAAUUACUGGGCGUAAAGGGCGCGUAGGUUGACAAGUGUGUUGGAUGUGAAAGCCCCGGGCUUAACCUGGGAAGGUCAUUCAAAACUGCUUGUCUAGAGUACAGUAGAGGGAAGUGGAAUUUCCGGUGUAGCGGUGAAAUGCGUAGAUAUCGGAAGGAACACCAGUGGCGAAGGCGGCUCUCUGGACUGACACUGACGCUGAGGUGCGAAAGCGCGGGUAGCAAACAGGAUUAGAUACCCCAGUAGUCC